rnacentral:misc_RNA from 1 species
UUUCCGUAGGUGAACCUGCGGAAGGAUCAUUACAGUAGUCACCCAGGUUGCCGCAAGUCCUCCUGGGUAACCUACCACCCUUUGUUUAUUACACUUUGUUGCUUUGGCAAGCCUGCCCUCGGGCUGCUGGCUCCGGCCGGCGAGCGCUUGCCAGAGGACCUAAACUCUGUUUGUCUAUACUGUCUGAGUACUAUAUAAUAGUUAAAACUUUCAACAACGGAUCUCUUGGUUCUG